AUCUCCCAUCGAUCAAAAUUAAUAACCCCAAAGCUCCCAUCGCUGAGCCCUCCUUCUUCUUCUUUCUCUUCGAAGCGGCGGCAGGCAGAAGCACGCUCCGAGUCGAACUCCCCCGUUCGCCCCGUCGCCAUUCCGUUAAACCGUCGUCAGUGCUCACCGUACUCAUAGAUUUGGGCGCGGAUCUCGUUGAAUUCGAGAAAGCGACGGAGGAGAGUACCGAUAGACCCAACCGACAUCGCCACAUCAUAGUUUCUUCGGCGAAGCAGCAGAUCACGUGUGAUCUUUGAUUCAAUCAAGGGAACCAAAAAGAAAUCUCUUGUUCAAUCAAGGGAACCAAAGUUGGCUGGCAGCAGCAGAAGCAGAAGCUGCCACUUUAUCAAUUGCUAAGCGAGCAAUACCUGAUGCUUCAUCAAUUGAUGAGGCAAACCAGGUUCUUCGUAGUAACUGGAUUAAAGCAAUUGAAGAGCACCUUCUACAAUUUGGGAGCUCUAAAAUUGAGGAUAUUUUAGACAUUGGUUGUUCCGUAGGAGUGAGCACAAGAUAUCUUGCGGACAAAUUUCCUGCAGCUAAUGUCACAGUGAGCACAAGAUAAUUUUGUAUUCAGUUUGUAUUCAGUCAACAAUAAUAAUAUAUAAUAGACUGUAGCUUUUCACCUGAAGCAAAGAUUAAAUAUGCUCAACCCUUACAUAUACAAUUUCUAACGUUCAGUUGAUGUGCCAAAAUACUACUAUGUUUUUUUUCUGGAGUGAUAGCCAGUUAAUUGGAAUUUGGAAUGAGUUUUACUUUUAAUUCAGAUGAUUGACAGCAAAGUAUCAGUUGCUGAUGGUUAAACUACUUCUUGUGAUUAUUAACCUAGUUCUGUAAAGUCUCUUUGGUGGAAUGGAGAUAGUUUGGAUAUAUUUGGUGGUUUGAUCAAAAUAUGCAACUUCUUUAAUGGAAACUGAUAGUUGUAAAUCCCAAUGCUGUAAAUCCCAUGUUUCAGGCUGUUUCCAUUUAUCAGGUUCAUUAACCUGAUGCUCAAAUCCUGAAGUCUGUGCAUGGUUGAGGGUGUCAGUAAAAAUGCUUUAUUCCUUGUAUUUCAUUAUUGUUAUUUACUUUAGAUUUGCGACUGAUCUUGGUUCUGCAGCAAAAUUUACAGCGGAAAGUUGUUUCCUGCAUGUGCUGCUUGGAUUAUCCUGACGAUGUUGGACUGGCAUAAUAUUAGGUACCAUCAGCACUCUGUCCAUAUUAUGUGGACUUGGAGUA